GUUGCUGUUUUGUGCCGGGCGGUUUUUGAGUAUAAGGCUCCUCCUGAUAAUCUGAUUCAUUUGUUUACUUUGAGUUAUGGAAUCUGUGUAAUCUUGCUGAACCUGAACGAACAGAAAAAGGAGGAGGACAGCAAAAAGAAGCAAAAAGGAAAG